GCGCCAGUGUUGUAGGGGUAUCAUGCAAGAUUCCCAUUCUUGCGACUCGGGUUCGAUUCGGCUGGCGCA
rnacentral:tRNA from 1 species